rnacentral:rRNA from 1 species
GACGAACGCUGGCGGCGUGCUUAACACAUGCAAGUCGAACGGAAAGGCCCUGCUUUUGUGGGGUGCUCGAGUGGCGAACGGGUGAGUAACACGUGAGUAACCUGCCCUUGACUUUGGGAUAACUUCAGGAAACUGGGGCUAAUACCGGAUAGGAUCUCCUGCUGCAUGGUGGGGGUUGGAAAGUUUCGGCGGUUGGGGAUGGACUCGCGGCUUAUCCGCUUGUUAGUGGGGUAGGGGCUUACCAAGGCUUUGACGGGUAGCCGGCCUGAGAGGGUUAACGGGGACCUUGGGACUGAGGGACGGACCAGACUCCAAUGGGACGCAGUAGGGGAGAAUAUGGCACAAUGGGCGGAAGCCUGAUACAGCAAUGCUCCGUGCGGGAUGACGUGCUUCGAGUUGUAAACAGCUUUCGCAUGUGACGAAGAGUGAGUGACGGUAAUGGGUAAAGAAGCACCGGCUAACUACGUG